rnacentral:rRNA from 1 species
CGGGGAAUUUUCCGCAAUGGGCGAAAGCCUGACGGAGCAAUGCCGCGUGGAGGUGGAAGGCCUACGGGUCGUCAACUUCUUUUCUCGGAGAAGAAACAAUGACGGUAUCUGAGGAAUUAAGCAUCGGCUAACUCUGUGACAG